UACGGAGGUGGCAAGCGUUGCUCGGAAUCACCGGGCGUAAAGAGCUCGUAGGCGGCUCGUCGCGUCAGCUGUGAAAACCCACGGCUUAACUGUGGGCUUGCAGCUGAUACGGGCGGGCUGGAGUUCGGUAGGGGAGACUGGAAUUCCUGGUGUAGCGGUGAAAUGCGCAGAUAUCAGGAGGAACACCGGUGGCGAAGGCGGGUCUCUGGGCCGAUACUGACGCUGAGGAGCGAAAGCGUGGGGAGCGAACAGG
rnacentral:rRNA from 1 species